UGGAACCCUGUUGGCCAGCAACUCAAUUGAAUGCAACACAGUCCUGGUACUGGUGACGAGAGAUGGUAUAGAUGUUCCAUGGCCAUCCUUAGAUGAUCCAAAUGACACACAAGAGUAAUUUCCUCAGAAUCAAGAACACUCCUGGAAAUAACUAGUACAACUGGAAAAGAAGGUCUCGAAUCCACUGAUGACAAAAGGCACAUUGAAAGAAGUUUUGACAUGGUGUGGAUCCCACCCUUCUAGAAAACUCCUACUAUAUCUGAAGAGAGAGCCUCUGACUGCAGGCCUAGUGAAUGUCCUGGUGUCAAUUUGCAUGUUUAAUAAUGCACUCCCAUUGUGGAAAUGACUGUGAUAUUGCAGCUGAGCCCCAAACUCCACUAGGCAGUUAAUCUGUGGAUGAAAACUUAAUCCAUGUUGUAAUGGCUUUUCCAUUGGGUCCUCGGUACUAUGUCCUCCAAUGACCAACCGUUUUACAUGCUGGGGAACAAUGCUCUCCACUCAGCUUAACAUACACCCUGAAUUGCUAUUAAUUAUCAAAGGUUAACCAUGGUAAAAUUUUUUGAAAAGAA